CCUCUCCAUUCUUCCUCCAGACUCUGGGUCCUUGGUUUCCAAAUGAGAUGCAAAAGUUGCUCUCAUCAGAAAAGAGAACUUUUGACCACUGAGCAACAGACCAGGUCUGUUUUUGUUUAGCCCAGGUAAGACGCUUCUGAUGUUGUUUGUUGUUCAGGAGUGGCUUGACAAGAGGAAUACGACAUCUGAAGCCCAUGUCCAGGAUCGGUCUGUGUGUGGUGGCUCUUGAUGCACUGAUUCCAGCCUCAGUCCACUCCUUGUGAAAGUCCCCAACACUUUUGAAUGGCCUUUUCCUGACAAUCCUCUCCAGGCUGUGAUCAUGCCUGCUGCUU